rnacentral:lncRNA from 1 species
GAUAAGUCUAUAUUGUUGAACAGAUAAGAUAAGAUAGAUAAGAUAAGAGCGAUUUUAAAUUAAAAUAAAAGCCUUACGUAAUUUAAAAACUUAAAUCGAUUUAUUAAUGAUUAAAUAUAAUUGCUCUGGCAACAUUUACUUGCGCAUGUCACAUCACUUUGACGUUCGUUCGUUGUGUGUUCGUGAUUGCUUUGUAUAAUACGUUGAGUUUUGAAUUCCGUAUUUACUUAGUUAUUAUUUACGAUACGUGCCUUUCUGCUACCACCGAGUUGAGCUAAUAAGUUCCUCGCGUACUUACUUUAUGUUUUGUGAGAUAAUUGACUCCUCUUUGUGAGAUAUUGACUCUAAGUGCUUGACUCUUGUUUGUGCUGUUCUUUGUGAGAUAAAGUGCUAUUCUUGGAGAACAAUUUGACUCUUAGUGAAAUCCUUGUGUGAUAUUGAACUCCCGAACUGUUUUUGUCAGAACUAUGUCUACCCCAGCCAGAAGUCGGGCACACCGCCUGUCUUACCGACGCUGUAUUAACUGUUCCCUUUUACUAGCGUCUAAUUUACGCCGGUAUACAGUUGAGGAGUUGAACGAGCAAAUGACAGUUCUUCUACGAACUUGGACAACGCCUACACCUGUAACGUCAGAUGAUAUCCUAUGUAUUGAAUGUUAUUUGCUGUUGCAAGAAAGGAUAUUGUCAAAUAUAACUGGAUCCCACGAGGAUAUAUCACCUGCAUAUGGUCACUUAAAUGUUUGUUAUGGAUGUGGUAUCUCUGUUGCAAGUCGGAGAACCCACAGAGUUGAGUUAGACUGUCCACAACGUAGCAUGAUUUUAAGAUGGACUUUAGCACAUCUGGUGAGUAUUAUUUAAUAACAUUCUGUAUCAUCACGCCUAUAAUCCCCAAUCACAAGCGUGACGACGAUUAGGCAGAGGUGUACCUAACAGUACACAAUACAUUUUGUCAGUUAUGUUCUAAGUAAUAACGGUGAGACCAUGCAAUCAACCAGGCACAAACCCAGUAUUCCAGGCUCUUCUGGUUACUACUCAUGAAAUCUUAAUGGAAAUACCCAGAAACCCAAUCCUGGAACUGAACCUGAGAUCUCAUACCCUGCAAUUGUGUUUAACAUUUUCUAAAUAAUGUUUCAGAAAAAAUGCUGCAUAGUUUAUUUCUAAUUGAUGCUAUUUUUAUUCAUAUGCUUGCACAAUAACAAUAUAGGGUUUGGUACCUAUUCUGAUAUUCACUAAUACCAACUAUUUCAUUUUAGGUUCCACAUUUACAAAAAGUGUGCAUUCCUUGCUGGUUAGCAGCAACUCGGGAGACGAGACGUUUGGAGGUUCAAGAUUCAAACAGACCUGCAAGGGUCAUGGAUGCAGCUCUAUCUUCAUUAGAAGACCCCGAGAUACCUGAACCACCUCCAAUGCCAGCUCCAACAUCUCAACCACAACAAGCAUUACGAGUUCAAUCUAAGAUUAACUCACAAAAGUAUAAACGAGUUGCUGCAGCUUCUCGUCACUGUAUGUUUGUAGGCUGUGAUAAUGAUGAACGUCUUUUAGUACCUAUGACUAUAAAGGAACUGUUGUUAUUGCAGUACAAUAUAUAUAUACCUUUAAA